AUGGUAGAAGCAGAUCAUCCAACAAGCUUUUCAUUGGUGGCCUCAAUAGAGAAACCAAUGAAAAGAUGCUUAAAGCAGUAUUUGGGAAACAUGGUACCAUAUUGGAAAUUAUUUUGAUAAAGGAUCAAAGAGCAAGUCCAGAGACUUUGCAUUUAUUAUUUCUGAGAACCCUGCAGAUGCUAAGAAUGCUGCCAAAGAUAUGAAUGGAAAGAUGAGAUCAAAUUACAUGCUUGAUCUCAAUAUGAAUUCUUAUAGGGAAACCUUUCCAGUUAAAAGAGGUCCAUCUUUAGGAAGUGGAGGUCCUCCUCCUAGAAAAUCUCUUCUGCUGUCGUAAGAAGCAAUAGUUGUAUGGGAGGCCAAGGGCCCAUAUCAUGUGGAAGAGAGAAUUAUACAGGUCCUCCACUCAGAGAGCCCAUCUCUUCUUGGAGAAAUGACCAUAGGUCACCAAGAAAUGAUAGUUAUGCUAGUAAGGAUAGAAAUCAGUGAAUUUCCCCAGAAACCAGGGAUUAUGCUCCACCACCUAGAGGCUAUACAUACUGUGAUUAUGGUCAUUCUAGUUGGGAUGAACAUUACUCUAGAGGAUAUAGUUUUUAUGAUGGCUAUGGUGAGGCUUGUGGUAGAGAUCAUUCUGAACACCAAGGUGGAAGUUCUUACAGGAUGCAUUUCAGAGAUAUGGGACCUCUCAUGGUGCACCACCUGCACAAAGGCCUCAGAUGUCUUAUGGUGGAAGCAGCUACCAUGAUUUUGAUUUUAACAUGUCUAACAAUACAUGAGAUAGAUAUGGCAGAAGUCGUGAGAGUUACUCAAGGAGCUGUGGUGAUUUUUAUUCCUGUGGUCGUGAGCACAUUGGCAGAAAAGACCAAAGGAAUCCACCUUCUCUGGAUAGGGUGCACCCUGCUCCUCGUGAAGCAUAUGGUAGCUCAAGAUAUGUGGCAUCUACAGGAGAUGAUGGGGAAAGUCGAUCUGAAAAAGGAGACCGAAGCAGGUAUUAA
rnacentral:lncRNA from 1 species